GUGGAUGAGGGAGCGGGCGGAGGAGGAAGUGUCAUGGCGUCGGGCCGUGGAGCUUCUUCUCGCUGGUUCUUUACUCGGGAACAGCUGGAGAACACGCCGAGCCGCCGUUGCGGAGUGGAGGCGGAUAAAGAGCUCUCGUACCGCCAACAGGCGGCCAACCUCAUCCAAGAAAUGGGACAGCGUCUCAAUGUCUCCCAGCUUACAAUAAACACCGCGAUUGUUUAUAUGCACAGGUUUUAUAUGCACCAUUCUUUCACCAAAUUCAGCAGAACUAUAAUAUCGCCUACUGCAUUAUUUUUGGCUGCAAAAGUGGAAGAACAGGCUCGAAAACUUGAACAUGUUAUCAAAGUAGCACAUGCUUGUCUUCAUCCUCUAGAGCCACUGCUGGAUACUAAAUGUGAUGCUUAUCUUCAACAGACUCAAGAACUGGUUAUACUUGAAACCAUAAUGCUACAAACUCUAGGUUUUGAGAUCACCAUUGAACACCCACACACAGAUGUGGUGAAAUGUACCCAGUUAGUAAGAGAUCUUUGGGGGAUAGCAAGAAACAUUUGAGUGAAUGUUGUUGAAGAUUUUCAGUAGUAUAGAAAAUGAUGGCGCUCUUGUGAUAUUUCAAGCAAGGAUUUGGCACAGACAUCCUAUUUCAUGGCUACCAACAGGUUGUUAUCCUGACCCUCUUUGUUGCACUGUUGUAGCACACUAUAGCUUCCUUUAAUGCAGGGCCCCCUCAAUGUGUCUCUUACCCUUGUUGCAACAGGAGACUGGACCAUCUACUGUGGUGGUACCUUCCUGUUUGCUUUGCGGUGUAUUGUACAAGGGACUUUGGGCACAGAGGGGUUAAAUGCACAAUGUGAAGUGUAGUGGUGCUUUCUGAUGACAUAUUCUCGAUUUGUGAGUGCAUAAGUCUAAAAUUGGUAGCCUGAAUAGCAGCUAAAGAUUACAAAGAGCUAAACUUAACGUAGAAAUUCGAGCAACUUGUCUGCAUCUUACAACCUUCUGUCUUCAGUACAAACCAACAGUGAUAGCAUGUGUAUGCAUUCAUUUGGCUUGCAAAUGGUCCAAUUGGGAGAUUCCCGUGUCAACUGAUGGAAAGCAUUGGUGGGAAUAUGUGGAUCCUACAGUGACUCUAGAAUUAUUAGAUGAGCUAACACAUGAGUUUCUACAAAUAUUGGAGAAAACACCUAGUAGGUUGAAGAAGAUUCGAAACUGGAGGGCUAGUCAGGCAGCGGCUAAGAAACCAAAAGUAGAUGGACAGGUAUCAGAGACACCACUUCUUGGUUCAUCUUUGGUCCAGAAUUCCAUCUUAGUAGAUAGUGUCACUGGUGUGCCUACAAACCCAAGUUUUCAGAAACCAUCUACAUCAGCAUUCCCUGCGCCAGUACCUCUAAAUUCAGGAAAUAUUUCUGUUCAAGACAGCCAUACAUCUGAUAAUUUGUCAAUGCUAGCAACAGGAAUGCCAAGUACUUCAUACAGUUUGUCAUCACACCAGGAAUGGCCUCAACAUCAAGACUCAGCAAGGACAGAACAGAUGUAUUCACAGAAACAGGAGACAUCUUUGUCUGGUAGCCAGUACAACAUCAACUUCCAGCAGGGACCUUCUGUAUCACUGCAUUCAGGAUUACAUCACAGACCUGACAAAAUUUCAGAUCAUUCUUCUAAGCAAGAAUAUACUCAUAAAGCAGGGAGCAGUAAACACCAUGGGCCAAUUUCUGCUACUCCAGGAAUAGUUCCUCAGAAAAUGUCUUUAGAUAAAUAUAGAGAAAAGCGUAAACUAGAAACUCUUGAUCUUGAUGUAAGGGAUCAUUAUAUAGCUGCCCAGGUAGAACAGCAGCACAAACAAGGGCAGUCACAGGCAGCCAGCAGCAGUUCUGUAACUUCUCCCAUUAAAAUGAAAAUACCCAUUGCAAAUACUGAAAAAUACAUGGCAGAUAAAAAGGAAAAGAGUGGAUCACUGAAAUUACGGAUUCCAAUACCACCCACUGAUAAAAGCGCCAGUAAAGAAGAACUGAAAAUGAAAAUAAAAGUUUCCUCUUCAGAAAGACACAGCUCUUCUGAUGAAGGCAGUGGGAAGAGCAAGCAUUCAAGCCCACAUAUUAGCAGAGACUAUAAGGAGAAGCACAAGGAGCAUCCCUCAAACCGCCACCACACCAGCAGUCACAAGCAUUCCCACUCACAUAGUGGUGGCGGCAGCGGUGGCAGUAAACACAGUGCUGAUGGAAUACCACCCACUGUUCUGAGGAGUCCUGUUGGCCUGAGCAGUGAUGGCAUUUCCUCUAGCUCCAGCUCUUCCAGGAAGAGGCUACAUGUCAAUGAUGCAUCCCACAACCACCACUCCAAAAUGAGCAAAAGUUCCAAAAGUUCAGGUAGUUCAUCUAGUUCUUCCUCCUCUGUUAAGCAGUAUAUAUCCUCUCACAACUCUGUUUUUAACCAUCCCUUACCCCCUCCUCCCCCUGUCACAUACCAGGUGGGCUACGGACAUCUCAGCACCCUCGUGAAACUGGACAAGAAGCCAGUGGAGACCAACGGUCCUGAUGCCAAUCACGAGUACAGUACAAGCAGCCAGCAUAUGGACUACAAAGACACAUUCGACAUGCUGGACUCGCUGUUAAGUGCCCAAGGAAUGAACAUGUAAUAAUUUGUUUAGGUCAAUUUUUCCUUUACUUUUUUAGUUUAAAAAUUGUUAGAAUGGAAAAAUUCCUCCUGAUCUAGCAGUGGCAACACCUGCCGUUGCUGCCACUGCUUCAAUAUUUGUAAGUGCUGCUUUAUUCUUCAUUCUGAAAAGAAGAGAUUAUAGUAAACAAGUCUUUAUCUCCACAUAUGAUAGUGUUAUAAAUACUGUAAAAGCAUGGAAGGUGCAAAACUCAGUAUUUCUACAAUUGCAGCUAAGAACAUUAGGAUGAAUGGCUGGCUGCUUCUAGGAAUAUAAGAUGCCUCAAGCAUUCGUUAUUUAUGAUUUGAAUAUUGUAGCUAUUUUCCGUUGUUGUUGCUUGGCUUUUGAAUGAGUGUAAAUUGUUUUUUUUUGUGUAUUUAUACUUGUAUGUAUGAUUUGCAUGUUUCAAUGAUAAAGGGAUAAAACAGUAUACUGACAACUGUUUACAAGAAAGUGGAGAAAAAUGUACAUACAUUUUUGUAUGUUUAGAUAUUACCAUAAAUACUCAGGAUUGGAGCUGCUUGUAAGUAUAACAAUAUACAGAAUAACUUUAUUUUAUCUUGUCAGAGUCCAUCACUAAUCUAAAACAAAGGUGGCACUUUUUUAUGUUAACCUUAAACUCUAGGCCUUACUGGAAGCCACUGAUAGGGGACACUUCACUACCAGAUGCAUAUGCAGUGCCACAGAUGGUCAUUUAUACUGUGAGGCACUGAAAUUUUGCCUUCAGAGGUUCUGACCAGAUUGGCUGCUGAAAUAGCCCCUAACUUUCUGAAGGCUUGAAGAGGAAAAAAUAAAGUUUACAUACUCUUGAUGUGAAGUGCAUUUAAAUGUUUGUUGGCUUGUUGCAGUUCUAUGAAACAGAGCUGUUAAUAAUGGUUAUGUGGAUUACUGUGAUUAGAAAACUAAAUUCACAAUAACUUAACCUAGUAGAGAUAUAGUGAGUUGUUUCCUUUAAAGAAUUUUACACUACAUAUUUUAACACUAAACAGGGAUCACUUUUCCUUUAGCAUUCAGAAUGACACUAUAUUCUUAAAUAUACCCCUCCCCUGAAGUGUUUGUGUGUGAUGCCAUAUUUCUUUUUCAGGUAAAUGUAGUCUUCCUUAUAAAACAAAUUAAACCUAUUCUCUCUCAAUUCUUUUAUAUUCUAACAAUAAAUAAAAAUGAAAAGAGCACUGACUGUGCAUUAUACCUGUAUUUAUAGUUUAUGGUUAUCAGGAAGCUCUGUAAGAAAGAAAAGGUCAGCCUCCCAGGCAAACCACGAGUGGAGGUUUUACAUUUGUUUGCACAUCUCCGUAUAUUUCUGUUGAGGUAAAGUUUGCACAGUCAUCUGACUUCUGAUCAAACAUUAGAUUUUAAAACUUGUUUAGAUUUUGUCUUAAACACCAGUAAUAUGGCUCUUGUUUAUCAGCUAAUCUUGAAUUUAUUCUGUGGUAAAUCUUUGAGUUGUUGAGUACAGUUGAGAUGGGUUGGAUUCAACCUCCGUUGAACUGAAAACUUAAUUUCUUCUCUGUAUGAAUUAUUUUUGUUACAAAGCCACUAAUAUGUGCACAAUUGUAAUUUUACUCAAGUAUGUUGCAGUUGUAAAUAUUAGAGUUUAAUCUUGUGCUCUACCUUUAUUUAGCAAUUACCUAAUUUGCCAGUAGCUUUAUAAUUUUUAAAGAUAAUUGUUCAUUAUUUUGUCAAUGUUAUUUGAACUUGAGGUACUUAGGAGCCUCUUUGUGUAGGGACUGUGCCUAGGUAGCAUGUCCUAACAUUUGUUCUUGUCUUGCAUAACUUUGGUAAUCUUUGUCAUUAUAUGUAACUUUGUUGCUCUGUAUGGCAAAAUAUUGUAUCCAUAAACAUGGCAAUUUUGAUACAGUUAUACUUUUACAGUGGUACAUAAUCCAAGGACUAGUAUAGAAUUAAGCUGAGUGCAAGAUGAGGGAGGGAAGGGUUUUCUUGGUAAUUUAGAUGUGAAACCUCUACAGAGCUAUCAUGUAAAAACUACGUAAGGUGGUUGUGCUACUGUAUAAUUGGGGUGAUAAUACCAGGAAUUUUAAUAAGAUUUUGUAAAGACUAUCCAGAAAAGUAGUGAACUUAUUUUCAAUAGACAUAGAAAACAAUGUGAAUAUUUAAGGUCUGUGACUAUAGUUAAACUUCACUAAGAAUUUGCAGAAUUGUUUUGAGAUGUGGGAAUAAAGGUAAUUUUGUUGAAUCUUCAUUGGUGCUAAUGAUGGACAGUUAAAAAGAUAGCUAGUGUAUAUUGUUAUGGGUCAGUACUUAUUAGUACUUCCAAAAUUGAAUUUGAAAUGCUAUGUAUUCACUUUUCACUCUGUAAAUGUAAUUCUUUACAAUGACUUUAUUUAUUAAAGGGCAGCCAGUUGUCAUUUUUACAGGAUUGUGUGAGCUAUUCAAACUCUUUAACCCCUGAACAGGAUAUUAAGCUUCCAAAAUAAUGAUGGAGAUAAAUAUGGAAAUCCAUUUUAAGUUUCAUUUCCAUUAAACAAAAACUCUUAUAAUUCAUACUAUCAUGGAUUUGCUUUAUCCAUCUUAUUUGCGUAACAGUUCAUCUGCCUGGUCCCAUUAGGCUCUACCAAAGAAAAAGACUCUGAUGAAUGGACAUUAUUACUGUGAGUCUUCUUAUAAAUGGCCAUAAAUAAACCAAAAUAGUAUCCUCAAAUUUAGGUAUGAAAUUCCACAUGUGCAAAGUACUGUUAAGGUGACAACAUUUUUGAUGAGAUUUAAAAAAAAAAAAAACAUUUGAAAUAUUAAAAAGCAUUAUCUUUAAACAUCCUAUAAAAGAGUGAGUCAUUUUUAAGUUGUGUUUUCCCUAGAUCACAGAUUUGUUACCUUUACACAAAAGCACAUUGCAAAGGCUUUACUUCUACCUCUUCCAGCUAGUUUUCCAGUAUUGAGCUGUGCCCCCCUAAAUAUUUGCCUUAGCUAUUUUAAAAUAUGGUAUUUUCAGACCAAAGCAAACGGGUGUUUGUUCACUGAAACAUUCUUAGAGGCCUACUUAACAAAACAGGCAGUAGCAUCCUUUAGUGGUGAAACCUCAGUUUCUUAGUUGCAGGUAUAUAAAUAUCAAAAAAAGUCCUGUUGUCAACCCUGGGUUUAUCUUUGAAAGCAGUUCAAUGUGCACCUUGGUCUUCCUCUUUGUGUGCUGAUUCAUCCUGGUUAAAGUUCUUAUUCAGUCAUCUAAAGGAAAUUUCUAACAAUGUAUGGUUUCUUGAAUGAGUGGCUGCUUAUAUUACUUUGUAGCAACAGAUUGUAUUAUGUAGAAUACCUAACUUCUGGCCUAUCCUCUUUGAACUAGAAAAGACUAAUUGAGGUCUGCUUCUGAGAACCAAUAUGAAAUGUUUUCGGUAGCAUCAGAUACCCUUGCCUUAAAAGAUUUCAAGCACAUUUUCUUUUAUAUUUGAGAAUUUAAAUUGCUGACUUGUAUUCCUUAAGCAACCUUAGAAAUAAACCACUGCUUAUAUCUGCAUGAAUAUUACGCACUUCAUGAGUACACUUAGUUGAUUAGAUAUUUCAGAUUUUGCAUCUACUAUAGACCUGGGGACUUUUUUUAACAUCUUAGGAAGACAGUUCUCUCACGAUACUACUCCAUUUCCAGUUUUUAUCCAAAUGAAAAGCAUACCUGCUUAAAUUGUUAAGUGAUUUUUAGGAUGUCUUUGCUGAGAAUAUUUGGAGGCUCUUGUUAGGAAGAAUCAUUGAUUAUUUCUCCUGAUUUCUGCUUCAGAGACUUUCUUGGGAGGCAGUAGGAUUCGAUGACUACCCAGAUGGGGGAUCAAAAAAUCUCACACUUGAAUUAAGUGAGUUCACAGGAUAACAGGUGCUAAUCUCAUGUGCCCCAAGAUGGGCUUAUUUAGACAGGGAUUUCUGCAUUGGAAAAGCAGCACAUUCUCUGGCCUUGGAUACCAAGCUAUGAUACUAAUGUGUUAAUUUGAGGAUCACAUUCUGAUAAUAACAAAUAAGUGAGCCAUCUAAUUGCUGUAAGCUGACAUAUAUGGAACCAAAAUCAAAGGUUUUAUUUUAAAUUUCGCUGGAACAUCUCUUUUUAAUAAAUCCUGCCAGUGGGACUGAAAAGCUCAAACGAUUUUCGGCCUAAUACUAUACAUUCGUUUUCUACCCUGCAGUGUCGAUUUGGGAACAGCCCGUUUUUGCCUCUGCCCCACCUUCUUUCUAUAAUUUACUGUUUACCUAUUCUGCCUGACAGAUUCCUUAAGUAGGUUGAUAAGCAAGAUACCUCGAAGACUGGCUAGGAGUAAUUCUGUUCUCAUAUAGGCAACUUAACAUUCACUGUGGAAUCUAUUAAUCUCAAAAUGUUGAGGCCUGUCUGAUUUCCUUUAUUUUCAAGUUCGGGGCGGAAACUCAAAACUCCCGAGCAUUGUCACUUGAGGAGUUUGUUUAAUUUGAUUUGCCUAUUGCUUAAUAAGGAGUACAUUCUUAUUAAGUGAUGAGUACAUUCUUAUUUUUCAUGCAUGUUUUUUUCAAGCAGCUUCAUUUUAUUAGAAAACUUCCUAUGUACUCAUUUGUUGUAAACAGUGAUUGUGGGGUUUCAUUUUCUGAAUGUACUCAAAACUCCCAACAACAAUUGAAUAGGAUGUUUGCUAAUAGAAAAUCUGAAACAGGAAUAUGUGUAUAUGGCAUGAAUUAGUCAUUGACUUUUAUCUAUACAAGGAACUAAUAAAAUUUGUUUAUUCACAACAUAAA